rnacentral:rRNA from 1 species
AUUGAACGCUGGCGGCAUGCCUUACACAUGCAAGUCGAACGGUAACAGGCCGCAAGGUGCUGACGAGUGGCGAACGGGUGAGUAAUGCAUCGGAACGUGCCCAGUCGUGGGGGAUAACUGCUCGAAAGAGCAGCUAAUACCGCAUACGACCUGAGGGUGAAAGCGGGGGACCGUAAGGCCUCGCGCGAUUGGAGCGGCCGAUGUCAGAUUAGCUAGUUGGUGGGGUAAAGGCCUACCAAGGCAACGAUCUGUAGUUGGUCUGAGAGGACGACCAGCCACACUGGGACUGAGACACGGCCCAGACUCCUACGGGAGGCAGCAGUGGGGAAUUUUGGACAAUGGGCGCAAGCCUGAUCCAGCAAUGCCGCGUGCAGGAAGAAGGCCUUCGGGUUGUAAACUGCUUUUGUCAGGGAAGAAAUCUUCUGGGCUAAUACCCCGGGAGGAUGACGGUACCUGAAGAAUAAGCACCGGCUAACUACGUGCCAGCCGCCGCCGUAACAC